UAUAUGUAUAAUGAGUUUAGAACAAAUAAAUUUAUAAUAAAUACCUUAUGUGUGUGUCGAAAUGAUGUAUUAUCGAUUAGGCAAUGCAAUUGGAAUCGAAAUCGAUCGUCUCUCUAAGAAGCUAAGAUAUAAACGACAUAUAAAGACAAGAAGGUUGAAAUGGAAAACUAGAAAGGGAAGGGGGAAAAAAAUAAUAAGAAGGAAAGAAUAAAGUGGAAGGGAGAGAAAGUAGGGAGAGAAGAGAAGGAUAGGGAAGGGAAAGCAGUCAAGAAGGAGAAAGAGAUUGAAUGAUCUGUGAAUAAGUAUCGGACACCAAUCUCUUAUUUGUAAGAAGAUUCGCAGUCCAAAAUUCUCACAUCAUUCCAUUUGAAAUUAUGAUCAAAAUUGAUUCGAUGAUCAGUUAUGACAAAUAUCUUCUUGUAAUAAACCUCGUCAUACACCUCGUAUAUUGGGAAGAAUUUACACUGACUCCUACAGCUUACAAAUACCUGGAUGUCGGAAUCGUCGUGUGAUCUGUGUCUUUUGUGGAAAUUGUAAUUGAUGACCGAAGUAACAACCAAGGUGAAAAUUGUAUCAUCGAUAAAUGUGAUGCUACAGAUUUUUUGCGCAAAAUUUAUAAUAAAAAAUCAAAUAUAGAGUGUUAAUAGUUUAUGCUUUGGAUAAUAUUGUAAACAGUGUGAAAAGUAAAUAUACAUUUUAUUGCUAAUUGG